rnacentral:misc_RNA from 1 species
GAAAUGCGAUAAGUAAUAUGAAUUGCAGAAUUCAGUGAAUCAUCGAAUCUUUGAACGCACCUUGCGCUCCUUGGUAUUCCGAGGAGCAUGCCUGUUUGAGUGUCAUGGAAUUCUCAACUCUAUUUGCUUUUGUGAAUAGAGCUUGGAUUUGGAGGUUUAUUGCUGGUACUUGUGAUCGGCUCCUCUUGAAUGCAUUAGCUCGAACCUUUGCGGAUCAGCUAUCGGUGUGAUAAUUGUCUACGCCGUUGCAGUGAAGCAUAUCAAUGGGCUCGGCUUCCAAUCGUCCUUUACUGGACAAUGACUUUGACCUUUGACCUCAAAUCAGGUAGGAUUACCCGCUGAACUUAAGC